CCUAGUCGCGUCCCUGUGAUGUUUAGAGUGCAAUAGUGUGGCUAGCUCCCGUCUCAGUUGUAGGAGUCGAGUUUGGUGCGUGUGGUUCGGGGUUUGUUUGUUUUGGUUGUCUGUCUCGUGUAUGUUGGUCAGCAGUUCCUGUAGCCGAGCUUCAGCUUGUUUCUUUAGUAUUGCCCCCUGUUGUAUGUAGUGGCCUCUUAUCACGCUUUUGUGUG